GCGGAUCCCAGCGGCGGUCGUGUAGCUGAGCAGGCCUGGGGCUUGGUUCUAUGUCCCUGUAGCUAUGUUUCCAGUGUCCUCUGGGUGUUUCCAAGAGCAACAAGAAACGAAUAAAUCUCUGAGAGGUGCCCAGUGAAUGCAGGUUCCAGACAAAAGGUGGAGCCUGGCAUCCUGCCCUGCAUGGGCUCCAGCCUGCUGCCAUCUGGGGAAACUGAGUCAUGGCGAGGCUCAAGGAUGUUUCUCAGACCACACCAGUCCCUGAAGGUCCGCUGACCUCCCAAUCUUGACGGACAGUGAGAAGAGGUUCCCAGGCCACCUGCAAUAGGUUCUGGCUCGGCCUGGGUUGGGCCCCGCAGCGCCUCCACCCCAGAGACCCGGACCAAGUUCACACAGGACAAUCUGUGCCACGCCCAGCGCGAGCGCCUGGACUCGGCCAACCUGUGGGUGCUGGUGGACUGCAUCCUUCGCGACACCUCCGAGGACCUGGGACUCCAGUGUGACGCCGUGAACCUGGCCUUCGGGCGCCGCUGUGAGGAACUGGAGGACGCGCGGCACAAGCUGCAGCACCACCUGCACAAGCCCCAGCUCACACCCCCCAACACCCCCAAGCUGGUGAGUGAGGUGGAGGAGCUGUACAAGUCCAUCACAGCGCUGCGGGAGAAGCUUCUACAAGCGGAGCAGUCCCUGCGCAACCUCAAGGACAUCCACAUGAGCCUGGAGAAGGACGUCACUGCCAUGACCAACAGUCUCUUCAUCGACCGCCAGAAGUGCAUGGCCCAUCGUACUUGCUACCCCACCAUUCUGCAGCUGGCUGGCUACCAGUGAGCAGCGGCACGGUGCUUCCCCCCAAUCCCCCAAAUAAACAGUGCGUUAGCUUUC
ensembl:lncRNA TEKT4P2 tektin 4 pseudogene 2